rnacentral:rRNA from 1 species
UUGGAGGGCAAGUCUGGUGCCAGCAGCCGCGGUAAUUCCAGCUCCAAUAGCGUAUAUUAAAGUUGCUGCAGUUAAAAAGCUCGUAGUUGAAUUUCGGGACCAAUAUGUCGGUCGUGCCUCGGUACGUACUGGCAUCGUUGGUUUCUUCCUUCUGACGAAUCAUGAUGUCAUUCAUUUGGUGUCGUGGGGAAUCAGGACUGUUACUUUGAAAAAAUUAGAGUGUUUAAAGCAGGCUCACGCUUGAAUACAUUAGCAUGGAAUAAUGAAAUAGGACGUUUGAUUCUAUUUUGUUGGUUUCUAGGAUCGACGUAAUGAUUAAUAGGGAUAGUUGGGGGCAUUAGUAUUCAAUUGUCAGAGGUGAAAUUCUUGGAUUUAUUGAAGACUAACUACUGCGAAGGCAUUUGCCAAGGAUGUUUUCAUUAAUCAAGAACGAAAGUUAGGGGAUCGAAGACGAUCAGAUACCGUCGUAGUCUUAACCAUAAACUAUGCCGACUAGGGAUCGGAUGACGUUAAUUUUUUAAUGACUCAUUCGGCGCCUUACGGGAAACCAAAGUGUUUGGGUUC